rnacentral:rRNA from 1 species
UACGUAGGGGGGCAAGCGUUGUCCGGAUUUACUGGGCGUAAAGAGCGUGUAGGCGGCCACGCAGGUCCGUUGUGAAAACUGGAGGCUCAACCUCCAGCUGUCGACGGAAACCGUGUGGCUAGAGUCCGGAAGAGGAGAGUGGAAAUUCCUGGUGUAGCGGUGAAAUGCGCAGAUAUCAGGAAGAACACCAAUGGCGAAGGCAGCUCUCUGGGACGGUACUGACGCUGAGACGCGAAAGCGUGGGGAGCGAACAGG